rnacentral:rRNA from 1 species
UAAACUCAGGGAAACUUGAGCUAAUACCGCAUAAUGCAGCGGCUCGACAUCGAGACAGUUGUUAAAGCUCCAUCGCAAGAUGGGGCGCCUAUAGAGGAGCCUGCGUCUGAUUAGCUAGUUGGUGAGGUAACGGCCCACCAAGGCGACGAUCAGUAGCUGGUCUGAGAGGACGGCCAGCCACAAUGGCACUGAAACACGGGCCAU